rnacentral:rRNA from 1 species
GACAGAGGAUGCAAGCGUUUAUCCGGGAAUGAUUGGGGCGUAAAGCGUCUGUAGGGUGGCUUUUUAAGUCCGCCGUCAAAUCCCAGGGGCUUCAACCCCUGGACAGGCGGUGGGAAACUACCAAGCUGGAGUACGGGUAGGGGGCAGAGGGGAAUUUUCCGGUGGAGCGGGUGAAAUGCGUAGAGAUCGGGAAAGAACACCAACGGCGAAAGCACUCUGCUGGGGCCGACACUGACACUGAGAGACGAAAGCUAGGGGGAGCGAAUGGGG